UCCGCGUUCACCAGGUGAUAAGGAAUUCUAUAUACUCGGAUACGUUUCAGCUGGAGAGUUUGUAAAAAGUUGAUAAAACGCGUACCUUUCAGGCUAAAUUGAUCGUACGUGUUCAACGUUUGAUGAUUACACCAAGUUCGGCUUUAAAUUACCUGUGACUUAUGAAUUAUGCCCUGGAACAGUGUUUUUUUGUUCAAACUUGACCCUACAGGCCUGAGAAUAUAAAAUUAAAAGCGUUGAAUUUCGUUGGUUUCCUAUGUCUUAGUUUGAACUUGUUACGUGUUAUUUACUUAGAUAAUAUACAUGACUCUUUUUGCAAUUUAUUAAAUACUGGUCUAGUAUCGUAUCUUAUUAAUUUGUUCGUUGCAGAUAAUUUCGACAACUAAGCAUACAUCGUCGAUUUCAGAUCGAUACUCGAAAGUCAGAGGUCGAGAAAUUGGAGCUGAGUAUACGAGAGGACAUUUCAGCGACUCAGCAAGUUGCUCGAUCACGUUUUUCGUGUUUAAAAAUACUCGGUAAAAAUAUGUGUAUGUGUAGAUUCUCAUAGAAAGCCACGUCAAGGGGGCAAGGUCCUACGGAUAAAACUAUAUCGAUCCGCUUGUUGAUUCUAGUAUCGUUGCACAUGCACGUGCGAUCUUCAAAGUCCAUAUGGGACAGUUCUGUAUUUUUUUAGAUACAUAUAUGUAUACAUAAUUAUAGUCGCGAA